GUAAAAAUACAUAAAUUUUAUAAUAAUGAGUAAAAAUUGUAAAAAAUACUUGGGAACUUACGCUAACAAACCACACUAUGUUCACAAAUCACCUAAAACCUAUUCAUCCAACACCACAAUCCCCUGUAGACUUUUAGAUGGGGAUACAAUCUAAUUCUACAAACGACGCUUUUACAAACGUUCUCAAAUUCUUCGACGCACGCGAUUUAACAGUUUCAAACGACAAAACUUAACGCUAUAACGCUAUUCAGUAUAAUAUAUAUGUAUGUAUAUACACAAAUAUGAAAUUGGUAUGCUCUAGUAAUCGGCUGCAACCAAAAAGCAAACGAAUACUUACAAUAAGGAAAGUGGCACCCAAAAGCACAGCCUUCAUGCGCACAUCCAAGUCCAUCGGAAAGGUAAUACCAAAGAAAUCUGCAUCGG